UACGGAGGGUGCAAGCGUUGUCCGGAAUCACUGGGCGUAAAGGCGCGUAGGCGGCUCAUGAAGGCUGUGGUGAAAGUCCGGGGCUCAACCUCGGAUCGGCCGUGGCGACUCGUGGGCUGGAGCACUGUAGAGGCGGGUGGAAUUCCGGGUGUAGCGGUGGAAUGCGUAGAGAUCCGGAAGAACACCAGUGGCGAAGGCGGCCCGCUGGGCAGUGGCUGACGCUGAGGCGCGACAGCGGUGGG
rnacentral:rRNA from 1 species